rnacentral:rRNA from 1 species
GAUGAACGCUGGCGGCGUGCCUAAUACAUGCAAGUCGAGCGAACGGACGAGAAGCUUGCUUCUCUGAUGUUAGCGGCGGACGGGUGAGUAACACGUGGAUAACCUACCUAUAAGACUGGGAUAACUUCGGGAAACCGGAGCUAAUACCGGAUAAUAUUUUGAACCGCAUGGUUCAAAAGUGAAAGACGGUCUUGCUGUCACUUAUAGAUGGAUCCGCGCUGCGUUAGCUAGUUGGUAAGGUAACGGCUUACCAAGGCAACGAUGCAUAGCCGACCUGAGAGGGUGAUCGGCCACACUGGAGCUGAGACACGGUCCAGACUCCUACGGGAGGCAGCAGUAGGGAAUCUUCCGCAAUGGGCGAAAGCCUGACGGAGCAACGCCGCGUGAGUGAUGAAGGUCUUCGGAUCGUAAAACUCUGUUAUUAGGGAAGAACAUAUGUGUAAGUAACUGUGCACAUCUUGACGGUACCUAAUCAGAAAGCCACGGCUAACUACGUG